AACGAACGCUGGCGGCGCGCCUAACACAUGCAAGUCGAACGGGGAUAUAGCGAGAAGCCGACUUCGGUUGGCCGAUUGCUAUAAACUAGUGGCGAACGGGUGAGUAACACGUAGGUAACCUGCCCUUAGGAUUGGGAUACUCCCGAGAAAUCGGGCUCAAUACCGAAUAUGAUUCCGGGGUGAAAUACCCGGGGAUAAAAGCCGUGAGCAAUCACGGUGCCUGAGGAGGGGCCUGCGGUCUAUCAGCUUGUUGGUGAGGUAACGGCUCACCAAGGCAAAGACGGAUAGCCGGACUGAGAGGUCGAUCGGCCACACUGGAACUGAGACACGGUCCAGACUCCUACGGGAGGCAGCAGUGGGGAAUUUUGCGCAAUGGGCGAAAGCCUGACGCAGCGACGCCGCGUGGGGGAAGAAGGCCUUCGGGUUGUAAACUCCUUUAGUACGGGAAGAAGUCCCGAGCAAUCGGGAUGACGGUACCGUAAGAAUAAGCCACGGCUAACUCUGUG
rnacentral:rRNA from 1 species